rnacentral:rRNA from 1 species
CAAUAGCGUAUAUUAAAGUUGUUGCAGUUAAAAAGCUCGUAGUUGGAUUUCUGGGAGGGGUGGCGAUGUCCGCUUAACGUGUGUGCAGCGGCGCCUCCAUCCUUCUGUUAGCGUCUCUUGGCAUUCAUUUGCUGGUGGCGGGCUCAGAUAUUUUACCUUGAGAAAAUUAGAGUGUUUCAGGCAGGCUAGGCCGGAAUACAUUAGCAUGGAAUAAUGGAAUAGGACUACGGUCUCUUUGUUGGUUUGAGGGACUGCAGUAAUGAUUAAUAGGGAUAGUUGGGGGCAUUAGUAUUUUAAUUGUCAGAGGUGGAAUUCUCGGGAUUUGUUAAAGACUAACUUUAUGCGAAAGC